rnacentral:rRNA from 1 species
UAUCUCUGUAGAGUCUGCAUAUCAAUAAGCGGAGGAAAAGAAACUAACUAAGGAUUCCCUCAGUAACGGCGAGUGAAGCGGGAAGAGCUCAAAUUUGAAAUCUUCAAGGUUCUACCUUGACGAAUUGUAGUUUAAAGAAGUGUUUUCUGUUGAAGUUUUGGUAAAAGUUCUUUGGAAUAGGGACAUCAUAGAGGGUGAGAAUCCCGUAUUUGACCAGUUAUUUUCAGCUGUGUGAUACACUUUCAAAGAGUCGGAUUGUUUGGGAAUGCAGUCCAAAAUGGGUGGUAAAUUUCAUCUAAAGCUAAAUACUGGCGAGAGACCGAUAGCGAACAAGUACCGUGAGGGAAAGAUGAAAAGAACUUUGAAAAGAGAGUUAAACAGUACGUGAAAUUGUCAAAAGGGAAGCGUUUGACACCAGUGUUGUUUUCCUCGAAAAUCAAUUAAAAAUGGACAGGAUUUUGUGUUGUAUUGACUUUAUCAGCUUUCUGCACUUUUUUCCUGUCUUUUUUAAUGCACUUUUCGUUUAACAAGUCAACAUCAAUUUCUUUUGUUGUAAAAGGGUCAUUGGAAGGUGGCUUUCUUUUCGGAGAAAGUGUUUAUAGCCUUUGACUUCUGCAAUCGGAGAGAUUGAGGUCUGCAGCGUAGAUCCUUCGGGGUUAGAUGCAUUUGUGCUAAGUUAUAGCCUUUCAUAGACAACUUGUUGACUAUGAUCAGUCAUGUAGCUUACUCGCUUAUGUCAUUUUACCUACGCUUAGGAUGUUGAUCUCUCACAGUCGAGC